UGUAACCUUAGAACUUUAUAACAAUCGCAUUAAAACCCACAGAAACUGAGAUUCCUUACAACUGUAUUAAACACAACUUUUAAAAGAAACUAAUGCUCAAAUAAAUGGUUCCAUCUGCAAAUACAACAAUAUGGCCUGGAUUAGCAUUACACUGGACAGUCUUAAUUUGUGUCUUCAUUCCUAACAGUUGACAAAGUGAUUGACCAUGUACUAAGCCUGCUAUGAGGCAAAAAUACU